rnacentral:rRNA from 1 species
GGGCGCUCUAGAACUAGUGGUCCCCCAGAGUUUGAUCCUGGCUCAGAUUGAACGCUGGCGGCAGGCCUAACACAUGCAAGUCGAACGGUAGCACAGAGAGCUUGCUCUCGGGUGACGAGUGGCGGACGGGUGAGUAAUGUCUGGGAAACUGCCUGAUGGAGGGGGAUAACUACUGGAAACGGUAGCUAAUACCGCAUAACGUCGCAAGACCAAAGAGGGGGACCUUCGGGCCUCUUGCCAUCAGAUGUGCCCAGAUGGGAUUAGCUAGUAGGUGGGGUAACGGCUCACCUAGGCGACGAUCCCUAGCUGGUCUGAGAGGAUGACCAGCCACACUGGAACUGAGACACGGUCCAGACUCCUACGGGAGGCAGCAGUGGGGAAUAUUGCACAAUGGGCGCAAGCCUGAUGCAGCCAUGCCGCGUGUAUGAAGAAGGCCUUCGGGUUGUAAAGUACUUUCAGCGGGGAGGAAGGAUAAGGUUAAUAACCUUGUCGAUUGACGUUACCCGCAGAAGAAGCACCGGCUAACUCCGUGCCAGCAGCCGCGGUAAUACGGAGGGUGCAAGCGUUAAUCGGAAUUACUGGGCGUAAAGCGCACGCAGGCGGUCUGUCAAGUCGGAUGUGAAAUCCCCGGGCUCAACCUGGGAACUGCAUUCGAAACUGGCAGGCUGGAGUCUUGUAGAGGGGGGUAGAAUUCCAGGUGUAGCGGUGAAAUGCGUAGAGAUCUGGAGGAAUACCGGUGGCGAAGGCGGCCCCCUGGAAAGACUGACGCUCAGGUGCAAAGCGUGGGGAGCAAACAGGAUUAAUACCCUGGUAGUCCACGCUGUAACGAUGUCGACUUGGA